UGCCUGCUGUAUUUUACACGGCAGUUUCCAGCUUUCCCUUUUCCUCCUCUUAGUUUAUUCUUCUUCCUUGUCUUUUUCAACGUACAAGCCGUUGUUUUCUUUUCCUUGAACGUUAUACUUCCAUUUCUGCUCCCUCUUGAACGACCAAACUCCAUACUUAGUUUCCUCUACCGAAAAAUUUAUAAGUUUGUGUGUUGCCGUUGCCAUCAUACCACUUCACAAUCUUCUGCGGCUUCGACUCAACACCAUCACCAAGAGGAUCAAGGCUGAUCUCUGUGUUGCUGUUCAAGCACCAAAAAGAGCCGCCGUUAGCUGUGUUUAGGUCCCUAAAUGGAGGAAGGCUGGAUCGUGUACAGUCGGUCGCAGUAAAGGAUGAAUAGGAUUCUCACUAUCUCCUUCCAAGUGAUGACGGGUUUUCCGUCAAGACUGGAUGUAGGGUGAUAGCUCACCCCCGAGAUAUUGAGAAGUAUGGUAUUGUAAUAGUAAACCCCAGUUUUAUAAAUAGAAGCUUAGUUAGUGGUUAAUCGAAUAGCUUCACUUUUGUAUCAAACCUUGGGGUGUUAAACUGGUCUAUUUACAUAGAUACGAUAAUGUUGUAGUUGUGGUUUGUGAAAAAUAAUAUCCUACGUUUCUAUCC